AAUCAACGCUGGCGGCGUGCCUAACACAUGCAAGUCGAACGAGAAAGGGUAGCAAUACCUGAGUACAGUGGCGCACGGGUGAGUAACACGUGACUAACCUACCCUGGAGUGGGGGAUAACUGGGAGAAAUCCUAGCUAAUACCGCAUAAUACCUACGGGUCAAAGGAGCAAUUCGCUUCAGGAGGGGGUCGCGGCCGAUUAGUUAGUUGGCGGGGUAAUGGCCCACCAAGACGAUGAUCGGUAUCCGGCCUGAGAGGGCGCACGGACACACUGGAACUGAAACACGGUCCAGACUCCUACGGGAGGCAGCAGUGGGGAAUUUUGCGCAAUGGGGGAAACCCUGACGCAGCAACGCCGCGUGGAGGAUGAAGUCCUUCGGGACGUAAACUCCUUUCGAUCGGGACGAUUAUGACGGUACCGGAAGAAGAAGCC
rnacentral:rRNA from 1 species